rnacentral:tRNA from 1 species
GGCGAGAUGGCCGAGUGGUCUUAGGUGCUGCUUUAGAACACCAAGUCCAUUCGGAGUCUCGGGUUCGAAUUCCACUCUCGCCU